rnacentral:rRNA from 1 species
UACGUAGGGUGCGAGCGUUAAUCGGAAUACUGGGCGUAAAGCGUGCGCAGGCGGUUGCUAAGACAGGUGUGAAAUCCCCGGGCUCAACCCUGGGAACUGCAUCUGUGACUGCAUCGCUGGAGUGCGGCAGAGGGGGAUGGAAUUCCGGCGUGAGCAGUGAAAUGCGUAGAUAUGCGGAGGAACACCGAUGGCGAAGGCAA